AGCUCUUGAAGAAGAAGAGUCACACAUUCAUCAAUCUCUUUACAAAGAACCUGAUUGCAAUACCUGUAAGGGAAGCACAAAAUAGUUUGGAGGCUCAAUAGCUGUACUACUUCCUCUCCAGUGGGCCAUGGAUACCAAAAGUCUAACAAGUUACAAUUUCAACAUAAAAUUUCAGCACUUAGCUAAACAUUUUAUAGAUUCUGUUUAUCACAUCUAUAUAAAUAAUUCUUGUUUUAUCUCUUCUGUUUCUAAUCAAAUAAAGCUAGACUGCCUCUCAUGGGUGCCACAAACAACAAUGACUCAUUUUUGCAAUAACCAUAGGGAAA